rnacentral:misc_RNA from 1 species
AACGCACAUUGCGCCCGCUAGUAUUCUGGCGGGCAUGCCUGUCCGAGCGUCAUUUCAACCAUCAAGCCCCCGGGCUUGCGUUGGGGCACCGCGGCCGCCGCGGUCCCUGAAAACCAGUGGCGGGCUCGCUGUCACUCCGGGCGCAGUACUAUAUCUCGCUCUGGAUCGUGCAGCGGGUGCCGGCCGUUAAAAACCCCCCUUUCAUAAGGUUGACCUCGGAUCAGGUAGGAAUACCCGCUGAACUUAA